UGCCCCAGUAACGGCGAGUGAAGCGGCAACAGCUCAAAUUUGAAAUCUGGCUCUCGGGCCCGAGUUGUAAUUUGUAGAGGAUGCUUUUGGUGAGGUGCCUUCCGAGUUCCCUGGAACGGGACGCCAUAGAGGGUGAGAGCCCCGUCUGGUUGGACGCCGAUCCUCUGUAAAGCUCCUUCGACGAGUCGAGUAGUUUGGGAAUGCUGCUCUAAAUGGGAGGUAUAUGUCUUCUAAAGCUAAAUACCGGCCAGAGACCGAUAGCGCACAAGUAGAGUGAUCGAAAGAUGAAAAGAACUUUGAAAAGAGAGUUAAAAAGUACGUGAAAUUGUUGAAAGGGAAGCGCUUGUGACCAGACUUGGGCUUGGUUGAUCAUCCGGGGUUCUCCCCGGUGCACUCUUCCGGCUCAGGCCAGCAUCAGUUCGCCUCGGGGGAUAAAGGCUUCGGGAAUGUGGCUCUCUCCGGGGAGUGUUAUAGCCCGCUGCGUAAUACCCUGUGGCGGACUGAGGUUCGCGCAUUCGCAAGGAUGCUGGCGUAAUGGUCAUCAGUGACCCGUCUUGAAACACGGACCAAGGAGUCGUCUUCGUAUGCGAGUGUUCGGGUGUCAAACCCCUACGCGAAAUGAAAGUGAACGCAGGUGAGAGCUUCGGCGCAUCAUCGACCGAUCCUGAUGUUAUCGGAUGGAUUUGAGUAAGAGCAUACGGGGCCGGACCCGAAAGAAGGUGAACUAUGCCUGUGUAGGGUGAAGCCAGAGGAAACUCUGGUGGAGGCUCGCAGCGGUUCUGACGUGCAAAUCGAUCGUCAAACAUGGGCAUGGGGGCGAAAGACUAAUCGAACCUUCUAGUAGCUGGUUUCCGCCGAAGUUUCCCUCAGGAUAGCAGUGUUGAACUCAGUUUUAUGAGGUAAAGCGAAUGAUUAGGGACUCGGGGGCGCUAUUUAGCCUUCAUCCAUUCUCAAACUUUAAAUAUGUAAGAAGCCCUUGUUGCUUAA
rnacentral:rRNA from 1 species